rnacentral:rRNA from 2 species
AGGUGAAAAGCACCCCGGAAGGGGAGUGAAAUAGAUCCUGAAACCGUGUGCCUACAAGUAGUCAAAGCCCGUUAAUGGGUAAUGGCGUGCCUUUUGUAGAAUGAACCGGCGAGUUACGAUUUCAUGCAAGGUUAAGUUGAUGAGACGGAGCCGCAGCGAAAGCGAGUCUGAAUAGGGCGAAUGAGUAUGAGGUCGUAGACCCGAAACCAGGUGAUCUACCCAUGUCCAGGGUGAAGUUCAGGUAACACUGAAUGG